AGAUCUCUUCCGUAUCCUACUAUUUAAUGCAUUCUCUUUUCUCAUUCCACGAAGAGAACUCGUUUACUAGUUGGAUCACUGCGCGCUGAGGGAGUAUCAGGGUUAAUUAACUAUUAUUUCUACGUCACACCGCCCAGAUUUUUGCAAAAGAGUGGUCAGAUUGGGGCAAUAAUCAUAGUUGAAUAUAAUUUUCAGUGUUUUCGAGUAUCUCAAUGCUGGUUUUUUCUUCCAUUCUGAAACUUAUGGGGUUGUACAACUUGCCGUUGGCGAUAUUGUUACUCUUGUUACUCAUACUCCCGAUAUCAUGUGCUCAGGCUUCCUUUGCUGAGGGAGUGCCACAAAGGUUGACCUUCGACGAGAUCAACGCCCAGACCUACUUGGACGUGAAGGGCUCAGGAACAGCCAACCAGUGCCCCAUUGUUGCCGAGGGUUCCGACAAGUUCAACUUAAAGGAUGGCAACUACCAGAUGAAGAAGCUGUGUCUCGAGCCCACCUCCUUCACUGUCAAGGCUGAGUCCCAGUUCAAGCAAGGUGGCGAGGACUACCAGCCUACCAAGCUGAUGACCCGCUUGACUUACACCUUGGACGAGAUUGAGGGUCCAUUGACCAUCAGCAACGGCAAUCUGAAGUUUGAGGAGAAGGAUGGCAUCGACUACGCUGCCGUGACUGUGCAAC
rnacentral:lncRNA from 1 species